UGCCAGACUCCUACGGGAGGCAGCAGUGGGGAAUAUUGCACAAUGGGGGAAACCCUGAUGCAGCGACGCCGCGUGAGCGAUGAAGUAUUUCGGUAUGUAAAGCUCUAUCAGCAGGGAAGAAAAUGACGGUACCUGACUAAGAAGCCCCGGCUAACUACGUGCCAGCAGCCGCGGUAAUACGUAGGGGGCAAGCGUUAUCCGGAUUUACUGGGUGUAAAGGGAGCGUAGACGGCAUGGCAAGUCAGAUGUGAAAGCCCGGGGCUCAACCCCGGGACUGCAUUUGAAACUGUCAGGCUGGAGUGCAGGAGAGGUAAGUGGAAUUCCUAGUGUAGCGGUGAAAUGCGUAGAUAUUAGGAGGAACACCAGUGGCGAAGGCGGCUUACUGGACUGUAACUGACGUUGAGGCUCGAAAGCGUGGGGAGCAAACAGGAUUAGAUACCCCAGUA
rnacentral:rRNA from 1 species